rnacentral:misc_RNA from 1 species
GUUCCAAGCGCUAACGCGCGUCAAUCUCUCAGACAGCCGGCUCACGACGCCCUGGCCAGCUCUGGUCGCCAUGAGUCGCAGCAGGUUCUUUGCUUGGACGCUCGCGGUCGCCGUCGCCGUCCUCCUGUGGUCUUAUUGCGCCGCCAGAGCAGUCUGCUCCUCCUCCUCGCGUCCUCUCGCUGCUGCGGACGAUGGGGGCGGCGCGAGGGACGACGAGCCAGAGCCAUGCGCCGCGGGCGGUGCCGCCUCCCGUGGCCAGAGGGAGAUCUGGAACAGCAGGCGGUCUUUGGGUGGCAGGUCGUGGUGGUCCCCGCCGUCGCCGCUGUGGAACUCGCCCAGGACGAUGCCCGUGCCCCCGCCGCCGCAGGUGUGAUGUCGAGCUGCCGAGCUGGCCGGCUGGACUCUGCUGCUGCGACCUGCGACUGCGAGGAGUUUCCCGUCGAGUGUGUUGUUGUGCCUGAAUGCCUGGCCUCUUCUUUCUGGAGAGGUAUGCCGUAUGCAUGCUUCAGGAUUGCAUACGUACGCUGCUUCAGCUGUCCGUCUACGAACGUACUACCGACGUGUGUGAUCGAAGUAUUUGUGUGCCUCGAAGAUUUGUUCGACGAUCCUCAUUGAUUCCAAUAGGUCAAGAGCUUUAUACGACAUCUCUUGGAGGAAAUAGAUU